rnacentral:rRNA from 1 species
AGAGUUUGAUUCUGGCUCAGGAUGAACGCUGACAGAAUGCUUAACACAUGCAAGUCUACUUGAACUUCGGUUUGGGUGGCGGACGGGUGAGUAACGCGUAAAGAACUUGCCUCACAGACUGGGACAACAUUUGGAAACGAAUGCUAAUACCGGAUAUUAUGAUAUGCGCGCAUGCGUAAAUUAUGAAAGCUAUAUGCACUGUGAGAGAGCUUUGCGUCCCAUUAGCUAGUUGGAGAGGUAACGGCUCACCAAGGCGAUGAUGGGUAGCCGGCCUGAGAGGGUGAACGGCCACAAGGGGACUGAGACACGGCCCUUACUCCUACGGGAGGCAGCAGUGGGGAAUAUUGGACAAUGGACCGAGAGUCUGAUCCAAGCAAUUCCGUGUGCACGAUGAAGUUUUUCGGAAUGUAAAGUGCUUUCAGUUGGGAAGAAGAAAGUGACGGUACCAACAGAAGAAGCGACGGCUAAAUACGUGCCAGCAGCUGC